AUGGUGUCCGUCCCUUUCCAGCUGAACGCAGGGAGCAGCAAUGAGGUUUGAGCUUGACGUAAGAGCAGGAUUCUACUCGAACCCGAGGAUUCCCACACUGGAUUUUACAACCUGCCUUCACAUAUGAGAUGUUGAAGCUUUCAAUGAGGUCACGCCAGACACUGACAAGCACUGAUGGGAUGUCAGUACGAAUUGUUAUUUUGAUGAUUCUUUGCCCCCAUACUUCUGAAAGGGAAAGCAACUGUAAACACAAGGGAGACUGAC